UACGUAGGGUGCGAGCGUUGUCCGGAAUUAUUGGGCGUAAAGAGCUCGUAGGCGGUGUGUCACGUCGGCCGUGAAAACCUGCAGCUUAACUGUGGGCGUGCGGUCGAUACGGGCAUCACUGGAGUUCGGCAGGGGAGACUGGAAUUCCUGGUGUAGCGGUGAAAUGCGCAGAUAUCAAGAGGAACACCGGUGGCGAAGGCGGGUCUCUGGGCCGAUACUGACGCUGAGGAGCGAAAGCGUGGGGAGCAAACAGG
rnacentral:rRNA from 1 species